rnacentral:lncRNA from 1 species
UGCAAGGACUCCACAUUGAUGCAGCGACACUGCAACACAUGCCUUGUUUAGCACAUCUGGGAGCCUUCUUCCCCAAACCUCCUCACAGAGAGAAGCCAAGCUGGGAGGACAUGUGAGUCGUGUUCCGGCUGUGGAUGAGCUCAGAUGUGGCCAGGACCCUGACUGCAGUGCCAAAAGAGACAUGGUGGCAACACGGGCUGUUCUAAGAACUCUGCAGCAGGAUGGAGACAGUUAGCAAAGCACCUUCUUGAAAGCUGGACCUUGCAAUGCAAGAAAAAAAAAAGAGAAUUUUUCUGCAAGCUUGUGUUUGGAGGCAUGACAUUCAUUCAAGGAAGAAGGCCACUACAGGUGCCUUGGAUCAAACUCAAGCUCAUUUUGCUGAGCUUGUUAUUGUACAAGACAUCAGCCUGUCCACAGUCCAGCUUGGAACUGACUUUCUACCCUGGGACUGUUUUAUAACAAAUUGACAUAUAUUGGCCUUCUCAAAACACCAGACAGAUGAAGCAGCCUCAUCUCCACAGUUUCACAUGCGUCAUCUGGUCCCAUGGUAGUUUUGAGGUGGAAAGUUCACUAAAAUGCCG